rnacentral:rRNA from 1 species
ACGGCCUUCGGGUUGUAAACCUCUUUUAGCAGGAAGAAGCGAAAGUGACGGUACCUGCAGGAAAAGCGCCGGCUAACUACGUGCCAGCAGCCGCGGUAAUACGUAGGGCGCAAGCGUUAUCCGGAAUUAUUGGGCGUAAAGAGCUCGUAGGCGGUUUGUCGCGUCUGCUGUGAAAUCCCGAGGCUCAACCUCGGGCCUGCAGUGGGUACGGGCAGACUAGAGUGCGGUAGAGGAGAUUGGAAUUCCUGGUGUAGCGGUGGAAUGCGCAGAUAUCAGGAGGAACACCGAUGGCGAAGGCAGAUCUCUGGGCCGUAACUGACGCUGAGGAGCGAAAGGGUGGGGAGCAAACAGGCUUAGAUACCCUGGUAGUCCACCCCGUAAACGUUGGGAACUAGUUGUGGGGUCCAUUCCACGGAUUCCGUGACGCAGCUAACGCAUUAAGUUCCCCGCCUGGGGAGUACGGCCGCAAGGCUAAAACUCAAAGGAAUUGACGGGGACCCGCACAAGCGGCGGAGCAUGCGGAUUAAUUCGAUGCAACGCGAAGAACCUUACCAAGGCUUGACAUAUACGAGAACGGGCCAGAAAUGGUCAACUCUUUGGACACUCGUAAACAGGUGGUGCAUGGUUGUCGUCAGCUCGUGUCGUGAGAUGUUGGGUUAAGUCCCGCAACGAGCGCAACCCUCGUUCUAUGUUGCCAGCACGUCAUGGUGGGAACUCAUGGAAUACUGCCGGGGUCAACUCGGAGGAAGGUGAGGAUGACGUCAAAUCAUCAUGCCCCUUAUGUCUUGGGCUUCACGCNUGCUACAAUGGCCGGUACAAUGGGCUGCAAUACCGCAAGGUGGAGCGAAUCCCAAAAAGCCGGUCCCAGUUCGGAUUGAGGUCUGCAACUCGACCUCAUGAAGUCGGAGUCGCUAGUAAUCGCAGAUCAGCAACGCUGCGGUGAAUACGUUCCCGGGUCUUGUACACACCGCCCGUCAAGUCAUGAAAGUCGGUAACACCUGAAGCCGGUGGCCCAACCC